UAUGUGAUCGUCUCUCGCAUAUCAAUAAGCGGAGGAAAAGAAACUAACAAGGAUUCCCUUAGUAACGGCGAGUGAAGCGGGAAGAGCUCAAAUUUGAAAUCUUCAAGGUUUUACCUUGACGAAUUGUAGUUUAAAGAAGUGUUUUCUGUUGAAGUUUUGGUAAAAGUUCUUUGGAAUAGGACAUCAUAGAGGGUGAGAAUCCCGUAUUUGACCAUUAUUUUCAGCUGUGUGAUACACUUUCAAAGAGUCGGAUUGUUUGGGAAUGCAGUCCAAAAUGGGUGGUAAAUUUCAUCUAAAGCUAAAUAUUGGCGAGAGACCGAUAGUGAACAAGUACCGUGAGGGAAGGAUGAAAAGAACUUUGAAAAGAGAGUUAAACAGUACGUGAAAUUGUCAAAAGGGAAGCGUUUGACACCAGUGUUGUUUUCUCGAAAAUCAAUUAAAAAGAGUUAGAUUUUGUUGUGUAUUAACCUUAACAGCUUGCAUUUCAAUUUUCUUGCUUUUUUUAAUGCACUUUUCGUUUAACAAGUCAACAUCAGUUUCUUUUGUUGUAAAAAGGUCAUUGGAAGGUGGCUUUCUUUUCGGAGAAAGUGUUUAUAGCCUUUGACUCCUGCAAUCGGAGAGACUGAGGUCUGCAGCGUAGAUCCUUCGGGGUUAGAUACAUUUGUGCUAAGUUAUAGCUUUUUAUAGACAACUUGUUGACUAUGAUUAGUCUUGUAGCUUACUCGCUUAUGCUAUUUUACCUACGCUUAGGAUGUUGAGUAGCGACAUACGCAC
rnacentral:rRNA from 1 species